rnacentral:rRNA from 1 species
AUUGAACGCUGGCGGCAUGCCUUACACAUGCAAGUCGAACGGUAACAGGUCUUCGGAUGCUGACGAGUGGCGAACGGGUGAGUAAUGCAUCGGAACGUGCCCAGUAGUGGGGGAUAGCCCGGCGAAAGCCGGAUUAAUACCGCAUACGACCUGAGGGUGAAAGGGGGGGAUCGCAAGACCUCUCGCUAUUGGAGCGGCCGAUGUCAGAUUAGCUAGUUGGUGGGGUAAAGGCCUACCAAGGCAACGAUCUGUAGCUGGUCUGAGAGGACGACCAGCCACACUGGGACUGAGACACGGCCCAGACUCCUACGGGAGGCAGCAGUGGGGAAUUUUGGACAGUGGGCGCAAGCCUGAUCCAGCCAUGCCGCGUGCGGGAAGAAGGCCUUCGGGUUGUAAACCGCUUUUGUCAGGGAAGAAACGCUCUGGGUUAAUACCUCGGGGUAACGACGGUACCUGAAGAAUAAGCACCGGCUAACUACGUGCCAGCAGCCGCAGUAAAAC